rnacentral:lncRNA from 1 species
GCCAACCUUUUACAGAAUCGUAAUAAAGCCCGAAAUCUAAUAACAAGAGCAAGCAACCAAAUUCUUUUAUAUUUAGCACAUGGUUAUCUGAUAGUGGUAAGAUGCAGCAAAGUUCAACUUGUCAAUUUCUUCUCAAACAGAAAGUUUGUUGAACCCUCCUAAUACAAUAAGAGUACACUGUGGAAAAUGAAUUAAAGAGCGCACUCCUGUAAGUGAGGCACGGCUAAUAGAUACAAAAGUCUGGAAGAAAAAUGAGGCCAAAACUAGAGCUGAUAGGCACAAUUCUCAAUUAUUGUCCAGUUUCCCUAAGCCAUUCAAUUCAAAUUACACAUGAAACGGCACAGGAUGGUAAGAAGAUCCAUUUCCACAAUCAGCACUUCUGUCUUGUGUGAGUUCGAAAGUAAGGAAAAUGGCUUGCUGUCAGAAACAAAUACCAAUGCUCCUCCACUAGUUUCAACCCUAAUCAUGUCCAAGAAACUGAACAGCUGAAUUCACGCAUGUGAAAUUAAUUUAUGAGCAUCAUUCGAGAUGUCUGUUUAACUAGCAGGAUCGACGACUCAUACAGAAUAUACAGGCUAACUAAGAA